GACGUAGACUCCGGUUUCUUUCCCUCCUACGUCCCAGCUCCGGACGCCAGGGAUCUACUUUUCCUCUUCAAGGGGUGGGCUGGAGCUGCAGCCUGAGUCCUGGAGAGCCGCUUGGCUCCGAAGAGGUCCCAGCUUAGUGGCAGCUGAAUCCUGUAAACAGCUUGCAAGACAGCAAGUAAUCCUGCGAGUUCCACCAGACAUAUAUCCCAGAGGGGGCAAGUGUUCUCUAUGAUGUCACCUGGCAGCAAAGUGAUGAGUCAGGGAAAUUACCCCGGCUGCUGACUAGCUUGUCUCUGCUCAGCUCCAAUGGGCCUGGAUGCUUCACACCACAGUAAUGAAAUUAUCUCCCUAAACACACAAGCGUCCCAUCAGAUAAUCCAGGCGGUAAAGCUCUCAAACAUUUUUUUUUCAUUGAAAUAAAUGCAGCCUUAUUUAUUUGAA
rnacentral:lncRNA from 1 species